GAUGAACGCUGGCGGCGUGCUUAACACAUGCAAGUCGAACGGAACACCCUUGAAGGAGUUUUCGGACAACUGAAAGGACUGUUUAGUGGCGGACGGGUGAGUAACGCGUGAGCAACCUGCCUUGGAGUGGGGAAUAACAGUUGGAAACAGCUGCUAAUACCGCAUAAUGCAGUUGAGUCGCAUGGCUCUGGCUGCCAAAGAUUUAUCGCUCUGAGAUGGACUCGCGUCUGAUUAGCUAGUUGGUGGGGCAACGGCCCACCAAGGCGACGAUCAGUAGCCGGACUGAGAGGUUGGCCGGCCACAUUGGGACUGAGACACGGCCCAG
rnacentral:rRNA from 1 species